rnacentral:rRNA from 1 species
AAAGAAACCAACAGGGAUUGCCCCAGUAACGGCGAGUGAAGCGGCAAGAGCUCAAAUUUGAAAGCUGGCCCCCUCGGGGUCCGCAUUGUAAUUUGCAGAGGAUGCUUCGGGAGUGGCCCCCAUCUAAGUGCUCUGGAACGGGCCGUCAUAGAGGGUGAGAAUCCCGUAUGGGAUGGGGUGUCCGCGACCAUGUGAAGCUCCUUCAACGAGUCGAGUUGUUUGGGAAUGCAGCUCUAAAUGGGUGGUAAAUUUCAUCUAAAGCUAAAUAUUGGCCGGAGACCGAUAGCGCACAAGUAGAGUGAUCGAAAGAUGAAAAGCACUUUGAAAAGAGAGUUAAAAAGCACGUGAAAUUGUUGAAAGGGAAGCGCUUGCGACCAGACUCGCCUGCGGGGUUCAGCCGGUAUUCGUACCGGUGUACUUCCCCGUGGGCGGGCCAGCGUCGGUUUGGGCGGCCGGUCAAAGGCCCUCGGAAUGUAACGCCUCUCGGGGCGUCUUAUAGCCGAGGGUGCCAUGCGGCCAGCCCGGACCGAGGAACGCGCUUCGGCACGGACGCUGGCAUAAUGGUCGUAAGCGACCCGUCUUGAAACACGGACCAAGGAGUCUAACAUCUACGCGAGUGUUCGGGUGUCAAACCCGUGCGCGCAGUGAAAGCGAACGGAGGUGGGAACCCUCACGGGUGCACCAUCGACCGAUCCUGAUGUCUUCGGAUGGAUUUGAGUAAGAGCGUAGCUGUUGGGACCCGAAAGAUGGUGAACUAUGCCUGAAUAGGGCGAAGCCAGAGGAAACUCUGGUGGAGGCUCGCAGCGGUUCUGACGUGCAAAUCGAUCGUCAAAUUUGGGUAUAGGGGCGAAAGACUAAUCG